rnacentral:lncRNA from 1 species
UUGUGCUUUGAUAUGGGUUCAAGAAAGUGCAGUCUUUGCAUGCCCAUUUAGGUUUUGCCGGUGAUGAUGAUUGCGGUGGUUGUGCAGAUAGGCAGAUUUGGCAGGAUGAUUUUUGAAAAGGUGGAUUGAUGAAAGUGCACUUUGAGCGUGUCCACGACAUUGUGAUCAGACGAGGGGUUUUCCUGGGGGGAUUAACUGUAGCAGAAUUGUUCCUUGGGAGAUGAAAAAAUAGAACAUAUAAAUAAAAAAACGUAUUUCAGCUCCAGGAAAGGCAUAGUUUAGUGCUACAUUUAAUGUUUAGAACUGCAACAUAUUGUUCCACUUAUGCUACUGUCAAAGUUCAAGGAAAUAAGUUUUCCAAGGAUGUAUCUUACACAUUUGAAACUCCAAAAUUAAAAUAUCAAGCGUUCUGUGAUUCAUACAACAGAGAAAUGCAAGGUAGCACUAAUUCAACACCUAUCUACAUUGUAAAAUACAAGUAACAGAAAUAGAAUACAUCUAUACCAAAACCAACUGGAAAGCACCAGCAGAAGAUUUAUAUUUGCUAAGAAAAUUGGGGUUCAGAAUACAUCUGCCAUUGUUGAAAUCCUAUUCAAACUCAAGUAAAUAUUUUAAACAAUUAAAAGAAUACAAGUUAAUAGAAGUCUAACUCAGCCACUGAUUUUAUUAAGGUAAGGCAUGCAACUAGGAAUUCAAUUCAGUUGACCUCCCCUUUCUUUGAAGUCCUGUUUAAACUCAGUUAAACAUUUCUAAUAGUUAAGGCAGUACAACUUACUAGGAACCAAACUCAACAACAGAAUUUACUAAGACAACACAAAUUAUACUAUCCGGUUGACUAUCAUUUUGUGUCAUGUGUCAAGAACAAGGAAAAGGAUGGGAGGAAUUCCCAUUUAUUUCCCAGUUAAACAUACAAAAUAAACCCUGAAACCAGAGAAAAUACUGCUAGGUUCAAAUCAAAACUAACAGAAACAAAAUAAGACUUCUCCUUUCCCAUAAUUAACCUCGAAAUUCAACCGGCCCAUCAAAAAUUCAACUGAAACUAACAGUUAAAUGAAAAACCACAGUGAUAUUGCAUUUUUAUUAUAAUCGCAAGUCAUACAUGUCAAAAAAUAAAAAUAUUUUGAAGAAAUUGAAGCAUACCCAGGGAUUCAACUUCAACAGCCUUAUUUCCAGCCUUUACAGCUCUAAACUCAAUAGAAUCACCUGCUCCACCAUCACCACCCAUAUCUGCGUCUUCCCUGUUUUUCCUCUUAUUGCCACAAGGACGCAGAGGCGGAAAAGAACCCUUUAACCCACGAGAAGAACAAGCCGCGCUGCCAUCACCAGUACACACAUUAGGGCUCUCCAUAUUUUCCUUCUUAUUAUUGCUAGGCUGCAAAUCCAACAAACCACCCUUAAACCCUCGAGAAGCAUCAUCCAAAUCACCACCACCGUUCGUCAAAUCUCGAUUUCCUUGAUUUUCCCUUUUCGUAUUAUUACAAGACUUCAAAGGGUAGAAAAUGCUCCCAAUAGAGGAGCCGGAGCCCAAUUGCGCUUCAUGAAUAUCAUCAUCAUCAACUUCAAGAAUGGAGAGUAAAGAUGCAGAAGCCCUAGCUCCACAGAUUUCACAACUUGUGCUUUGAUAUGGGUUCAAGAAAGUGCAGUCUUUGCAUGCCCAUUUAGGUUUUACCGGUGACGAUGAUUGCGAUGGUUGUGCAGAUAGGCAGAUUUGGCAGGAUGAUUGUUGAAACGGUGGAUUGAUGAAAGUGCACUUUGAGCAUGUCCACGACAUUGUGAUCCAACGAGGGGUUUUCCUGGGGGGAUUAACUGUAGCAGAAUUG